AAUUCCAAAGCCAACGUUUUCAUUCUCUGUUAGUCAAAAGAAAUAUUGACAGAUCAUUGCGAUCCAGCGUAAUCAAUAAAUCAAAUUUAAUAUUUUCGGAAAUGAUAACGUAAAACAUUAGAUCUAAAUCAAAGUUCGUGUCAUACCUUUUCUAAUUAUGCCAAAAUGUGAAAAAAAAUCUGCCCGAUCCGUGAUUCAUAAAAUUUUGUAUGUAUUGUGUACGCUACUCUGCAUUUUGAUCAAGGUCCUUAUCGUUUUCUACCGUCUUUUAUUGAAAUUCGUGCAACUCGUCAUCGGCCUGUUAAAGUUUCUGUUCAAUUUGUUGCCUUGUUGUGUAAAAUCCUCUGAUGUUGAAAGCGAAAUACAAGAAUGUGCAUUCCAAAGUAAAUCAGGCCUCAAGGAGAAUUCUGAGAUGUUUACUCGAAAAUUCAAAAUAGUAAAACUUAACAAAGAAGAUCCGAUUAUAUACGUUGAGCCACUUCCUUCGGUAUGCAUUCCAAAUAAAAGGAAGCCAAGUGCAAAACGAAAACCAGCAAAGGAGCGCCACCACAUAUAAACAGUUAAAAGUUAAUGCAUUCGAAACUAAGCAAAGUGGAAAGAAGCUGAUGGGGUCAUCCCGUGUGAAGGCCGGUUUUUUUUUCGCUUUUUUAGACAUUUUUUGUGAAGAACUGGAUAAAGAUGCAAAUACGAAUUUUCCAACAUAGGUCUAUUAGCAUUUUGAGCGUUCAUAGUAAUUUCUCCAGCCCCAUCAUAUAGUUCAUUAUCGAAAUACAGAACAAUUCAUACACCCAUCUCCA